GAUGAACGCUGGCGGCGUGCUUAACACAUGCAAGUCGAACGGGAAUUACUUUAUUGAAACUUCGGUCGAUUUAAUUUAAUUCUAGUGGCGGACGGGUGAGUAACGCGUGGGUAACCUGCCUUAUACAGGGGGAUAACAGUCAGAAAUGGUUGCUAAUACCGCAUAAGCGCACAGAGCUGCAUGGCUCAGUGUGAAAAACUCCGGUGGUAUAAGAUGGACCCGCGUUGGAUUAGCUUGUUGGUGGGGUAACGGCCCACCACGGCGACGAUCCAUAGCCGGCCUGAGAGGGUGAACGGCCACAUUGGGACUAAGACACGGCCCAGACUCCUACGGGAGGCAGCAGUGGGGAAUAUUGCACAAUGGGGGAAACCCUGAUGCAGCGACGCCGCGUGAAGGAAGAAGUAUCUCGGUAUGUAAACUUCUAUCAGCAGGGAAGAUAGUGACGGUACCUGACUAAGAAGCCCCGGCUAACUACGUGCCAGCCGCCGCCGUAA
rnacentral:rRNA from 1 species